CCGGAGAUCACUUGGGCGGUUACUGGGAGCACUGGGGACUCCUCGCCUGGGGCGGGGCUUAAAGAGGGGGCGGAGCCGGGGAGUUCACUCGGGGUCAAGGAUGUGGGGAGACACCCCCCCCCACUCCGUUCCUCCACCCGCAGGGGACCCAGGCGUCCGGGGGGGGGACCUAGGAGUUCGGGAGGGACCCAGGAGUUCGGGAGGAAUCACAGAAGUUUGAAGGGACCCUGGAAUUCAGGAGGGACCCAGGAGUUCGGGGGGGGCACCCAAGCGUCCGGGGGGGGGACCCAGGCGUCCGGGGGACCCAGGCGUUCCCGGCCGAUCGCUCCGGGCUCCCCGGUAACGGCUCGUCCCACCGGGCAGCGCCAGCCAAACCCCCCCCGCCUUCCCCCGGACGCCUGGGUCCCUCGGACGCUUGGGUCCCUCCCCGGACGCCUGGGUCCCCUGGGGACAGUGGGGAGGGAGGGGAAAGGGGGACCGGACUCCUGGGUCCCCUGGGAACAGUUUAGGGGUGACAUCCCGGACACCUGGAUCCUUCGGAGGCAAUGGAGGUCGGGGGUCCCGGACGCCUGGGUCCCCCAUGGUGGAUGUGGGGAGGGGUCCUCGGACGCCUGAGUCCUCCGGACGCUUGGGUCCCCCGGAGUCAACGUGGGGGAGUCCCGGACGCCUGGGUCCCCCAUAGUCAAUGUGGGGGGGGUCCCGGACGCCUGGGUCCCUCGGAGUCAAUGGGGGGUGUUCCCGGACGCCUGAGUCCGUUGGGGGAGUUCCCGGACGCCUGGGUCCCCUGUGGUGAAUGGAGGGGGGGCUCCCCGGACGCCUGGGUCCCCCCCCCGGUCCCGCCCCCCCCAGGGGGAUUUGGUUAAUCCCGGGCGGGGCUUAAUCCGGGCCCGGGGCCACCGGGACCCACCGGGGACAGCGGAGCCGAGCAGAAUGGACAUCGGCGGCCUGGAGACGGUGGUGGCCAACUCGGCCUACGUGUCGGCCCGGGGGGGCGGCGGCGGCGCCGGGGGCUCGAACCGCGACCGGCGGCAGCGCCUGCGCCUGCCCCACAUCUCCCAGUGCCAGGCCCUGCGCGCCCGAUUGGCCGGGGGGGCCCAAAAUGGCGUCGGGGGCGCUCAAAAUGGCGGCGUCGGGGGGCAAGAUGGCGGCGGUGGCGGGGCCCAAAAUGGCGUCGGGGGGACCCAAAAUGGCGGCGGGGGGGGCGGUUCCCAAGAUGGCGGCGUGGGUGGGGGCGGCCAUCUUGGGGAGGACACUUCCUUCAGGUGGCAGUGCGUGGAGCAGCCAAUCGGGAAGCUGCUGUUUCGGCGGUUUCUGGAAGGGGAGCCGGGAUUGGCUGCGGCCGGGGCGCUGUGGGCGGAGCUGGAGGAGCUGGAGCGCUGUGAGGAGGGGGAGCGGAGUGUCAUGGCCGCCGCCAUCCGCAGCCGCUUCUUCACGCCGGGAGGGGCCCAGCACUGCGGCUUCCUCAGCGCCGCCGCCACCGCGCCCGCAGGCGACGCCGUCUCCCCCCACGACUUCUCGCUGGCGCGCCGCGAGCUGCUGCGGCACCUGGAGGCGGCGGCGUGGGGCCCGUACCGCGCGUCCCCCGAGUUCGGGCGCUUCGUGCAGUUCAAGUGGCUGGAGGAGCAGCCGGUGGGCGCCGAGGCCUUCGCCGAGUUCCGCGUGCUGGGCAAGGGCGGCUUCGGCGAGGUGUGCGCCUGCCAGCGCCGCGCCACCGGCAAGAUGUACGCCAACAAGCGCCUCAACAAGAAGAGGCUCAAGAAGCGGCGCGGAUACGAGCGAUGUGUCCCACCCGGGUCUUGUCUUUGGCAUCUCCCACCUGUGUCCCCGUCCCGUGUCGCUGUCACGCUGUCCGUGUCCCUGUCCUGUAUCGCUGUCACGUGGUCCCGUGUCCAUCCUGUGUCACUGUCACGCGCUCCGUGUCCAUCCCGUGUCACCGUGCCAUGUCCGUGUCCGUCCCGUGUCACUGUGCUGUGUCUGUGUCCAUCCCGUGUCACCGUCACACCGUCCCGUGUCCAUCCCGUGUCACCGUGUCCAUCCCGUGUCACUGUCACACUGUCCCAUGUCCAUCCCGUGUCAUCGUGCCGUGUCCAUGUCCAUCCCGUGUCACCGUCGCGUGUCCGUGUCCGUCCUGUGUCACUGUCACGUGUCCAUCCGGUGUCACCGUGCCGUGUCCAUGUCCAUCCCGUGUCACCAUGCCGUGUCACCGUCCCGUGUCACCGUCACACCAUCCCGUGUAACCGUCGCGUGUCCAUCCCGUGUCACUGUCCCGUGUCACCGUGCCGUGUCCGUGUCCAUCCCGUGUCACCGUGCCGUGUCACCGUGCCGUGUCACUGUCCCGUGUCACCGUCCCGUGUCACCGUCCCGUGUCACCGUCCCGUGUCACCGUGCCGUGUCACCGUCCCGUGUCCGUGUCCGCCCCGUGUCACCAUCACACCGUCGCGUGUCCGUCCCGUGUCACCGUCCCGUGUCACCGUGCCGUGUCACCAUGCCGUGUCACCGUGCCGUGUCACCGUGCCAUGUCACCGUGCCGUGUCCGUGUCACCGUGCCGUGUCACCGUGCCAUGUCCGUGUCAUCAUCCCAUGUCACCGUCCCGUGUCACCGUCCCGUGUCACCGUGCCGUGUCCGUGUCACCAUCCCGUGUCACCGUGACGUGUCACCGCCCCGUGUCACCGUGCCGUGUCCGUGUCCGUCCCGUGUCACUGUGACGUGUCACCGCCCCGUGUCACCGUGCCGUGUCUGUGUCCAUCCCGUGUCACCGUCGCGUGUCCAUCCGAUGUCACCGUGCCGUUUCCGUGUCCAUCCCGUGUCACCGUCCCGUGUCACCGUGCCGUGUCCAUGUCCGUCCCGUGUCACCGUCCCGUGUCACCGUCCCAUGUCACUGUGCCGUGUCCGUGUCACCGUGCCGUGUCACCGUGCCGUGUCACCGUGCCGUGUCACCGUGCCGUGUCCGUGUCCGUCCCGUGUCACCGUGCCGUGUCACCGUGCCGUGUCACCGUCCCGUGUCCGUGUCACCGUGCCGUGUCCGUGUCCGUCCCGUGUCACCGUCCCGUGUCACCGUCCCGUGUCACCGUCCCGUGUCCGUGUCACCGUGCCGUGUCCGUGUCACCGUGCCGUGUCACCGUGCCGUGUCCGUGUCACUGUGCCGUGUCACCGUCCCGUGUCACCGUGCCGUGUCACCGUCCCGUGUCCGUGUCCGCCCCGUGUCACCAUCACACCGUCGCGUGUCCGUCCCGUGUCACCGUCCCGUGUCACCGUGCCGUGUCACCGUGCCGUGUCACCGUGCCGUGUCCGUGUCACCGUGCCGUGUCACCGUGCCGUGUCACCGUGCCGUGUCCGUGUCACCGUGCCGUGUCACCGUGCCGUGUCCGUGUCACCGUCCCGUGUCACCGUGCCGUGUCACCGUGCCGUGUCCGUGUCACCGUGCCGUGUCCGUGUCACCGUGCCGUGUCACCGUGUGUCCCGGCGCAGGCGGCGCUGGUGGAGAAGCGCAUCCUGGCCCGUGUCCACAGCCGCUUCAUCGUCUCGCUGGCCUGCGCCUUCCAGACCAAGAGCGACCUCUGCCUGGUCAUGACGCUCAUGAACGGCGGGGACCUCAGGUACCACAUCUACAACGUGGACGAGGAGAACCCCGGGUUCGCGGAGCCGCGCGCCGUGUUCUACGCGGCACAAAUCCUGCUGGGUUUGGAGCAUCUGCA